CCUGAGCUUGGGUGAAUGUGGAUUGGGAAAGUCGACUUUAAUCAACUCAUUAUUCCUCAUAGAUUUGUAUUCUGCAGAGUAUCCAGGUCCUUCUCACAGAAUUAAAAAGACUGUACAGCUGGCAGCCUGUUAUCGAUUACAUUGAUAGUAAAUUUGAGGACUACCUAAAUGCAGAAUCAUGCAUGAACAGACAUCAGAUGCCUGAUAACAGGGUGCAGUGUUGUUUAUCCUUCAUUGCUUCUUCAGGACAUGGACCAUUACGUAACUGAAGACUCCCACCUUCAGGCAGGAUUGCGUAGUACAUGUUUGUAACUACUUCACAUUGCCUUUGUUGAGACUUAAACCAUUGGAUAUUGAGUUUAUGAAGCGUUUGCAUGAAAAAGUGAAUAUCAUCCCACUUAUUGCCAAAGCAGACACACUCACACCAGAGGAAUGCCAACAGUUUAAAAAACAGCGCCUCUCGCUCAGGCAACUGCUCUAAGUGUAGAAAAGCUGGUGAGGAGAUGGUCUAUCUGCACUCUGUGAUUUAGUGGACUUGAAAAAAAAAAGCAUUAAGAAGAAUCACAGAGGAAAGAUGUGAUGACGAAGAUAAAGAAGGAAUAAGGGAACAGGACCAGGUGAUACUAGAUAGAAAAUAUCAAGAAAAGCAUUUAUAGAAGGACAAACAAGGAAAGUCAGUGUAAUGACAAUGAAGAAACCGAAUGUGUACAGGAAGUGUACAGAAAGACUUUUCAAAUUCCAACGGGCAAUGGGUGAGGCAAUAAAUAUUAGAUCAAUACAAAAAUGGUAUUAACAGUUAACUUUUGUAUUAUGUUUCACAACCUACAAAUGUUUUUUGCAUACCAUGUUAUUUAACUCAACACAACUCUUUACUUUCAUUAAUCAUUUGUUAUCUAUUAGUCACUGUUAUUCAUGAAAUAGACUGAAUUAAA